AAGUUCCAAACAGUGCAUUUUUGGACCUCAAAUC
rnacentral:rRNA from 1 species